rnacentral:rRNA from 1 species
UACAGAGGAUGCAAGCGUUAUCCGGAAUGAUUGGGCGUAAAGCGUCUGUAGGUGGCUUUUUAAGUCCGCCGUCAAAUCCCAGGGCUCAACCCUGGACAGGCGGUGGAAACUACCAAGCUGGAGUACGGUAGGGGCAGAGGGAAUUUCCGGUGGAGCGGUGAAAUGCGUAGAUAUCGAGAGGAACACCGGUGGCGAAGGCGGGUCUCUGGGCCGUAACUGACGCUGAGGAGCGAAAGCGUGGGGAGCGAACAGG